rfam:Hordeum vulgare subsp. vulgare, WGS project CAJW01000000 data, contig: morex_contig_275855
UAACUACUCCCUCCGUCCCAAAAUAAGUGACUCAAAAAUGACUCAGCUUUGUACUAACUUUAGUACAAAGUUGUGUCACUUUUGAGUCAUUUACUUUGGGACGGAGGGAGUAUUAU